GACGAACGCUGUCGGCGUGCUUAACACAUGCAAGUCGAACGGAAAGGCCCUGCUUUUGUGGGGUGCUCGAGUGGCGAACGGGUGAGUAACACGUGAGUAACCUGCCCUUGACUUUGGGAUAACUUCAGGAAACUGGGGCUAAUACCGGAUAGGAGCUCCUGCUGCAUGGUGGGGGUUGGAGAGUUUCGGCGGUUGGGGAUGGACUCGCGGCUUAUCAGCUUGUUGGUGGGGUAGUGGCUUACCAAGGCUUUGACGGGUAGCCGGCCUGAGAGGGUGACCGGCCACAUUGGGACUGAGAUACGGCCCAGACUCCUACGGGAGGCAGCAGUGGGGAAUAUUGCACAAUGGGCGGAAGCCUGAUGCAGCAACGCCGCGUGCGGGAUGACGGCCUUCGGGUUGUAAACCGCUUUCGCCUGUGACGAAGCGUGAGUGACGGUAAUGGGUAAAGAAGCACCGGCUAACUACGUGCCAGCAGCCGCGGUGAUACGUAGGGUGCGAGCGUUGUCCGGAUUUAUUGGGCGUAAAGGGCUCGUAGGUGGUUGAUCGCGUCGGAAGUGUAAUCUUGGGGCUUAACCCUGAGCGUGCUUUCGAUACGGGUUGACUUGAGGAAGGUAGGGGAGAAUGGAAUUCCUGGUGGAGCGGUGGAAUGCGCAGAUAUCAGGAGGAACACCAGUGGCGAAGGCGGUUCUCUGGGCCUUUCCUGACGCUGAGGAGCGAAAGCGUGGGGAGCGAACAGGCUUAGAUACCCUGGUAGUCCACGCUGUAAACGGUGGGUACUAGGUGUGGGGUCCAUUCCACGGGUUCCGUGCCGUAGCUAACGCUUUAAGUACCCCGCCUGGGGAGUACAGCCGCAAGGCUAAAACUCAAAGGAAUUGACGGGGCCCCGCACAAGCGGCGGAGCAUGCGGAUUAAUUCGAUGCAACGCGUAGAACCUUACCUGGGUUUGACAUGGAUCGGGAGUGCUCAGAGAUGGGUGUGCCUCUUUUGGGGUCGGUUCACAGGUGGUGCAUGGCUGUCGUCAGCUCGUGUCGUGAGAUGUUGGGUUAAGUCCCGCAACGAGCGCAACCCUUGUUCACUGUUGCCAGCACGUUAUGGUGGGGACUCAGUGGAGACCGCCGGGGUCAACUCGGAGGAAGGUGGGGAUGACGUCAAGUCAUCAUGCCCCUUAUGUCCAGGGCUUCACGCAUGCUACAAUGGCUGGUACAGAGAGUGGCGAGCCUGUGAGGGUGAGCGAAUCUCGGAAAGCCGGUCUCAGUUCGGAUUGGGGUCUGCAACUCGACCUCAUGAAGUCGGAGUCGCUAGUAAUCGCAGAUCAGCAACGCUGCGGUGAAUACGUUCCCGGG
rnacentral:rRNA from 1 species